GGCGGACGGCUGAGUAACGCGUGGGAAUCUGCCCCAAAGUGAGGAAUAACCUCGAGAAAUCGAGGCUAAUGCCGCAUAUGGUCUUCGGAUUAAAGUCGCAAGACGCUUUGGGAGGAGCCCGCGUCCGAUUAGCUAGUUGGUGAGGUAAUGGCUCACCAAGGCUACGAUCGGUAGCUGGUCUGAGAGGAUGAUCAGCCAGACUGGAACUGAGACACGGUCCAGACUCCUACGGGAGGCAGCAGUAAGGAAUAUUCCACAAUGGGCGAAAGCCUGAUGGAGCAACGCCGCGUGCAGGAUGAAGGCCUUCGGGUCGUAAACUGCUUUUCUCUGUGACGAAUAUGACGGUAGCAGAAGAAUAAGGGUCGGCUACUACGUGCCAGCAGCCGCGGUCUACGUAGGACCCGAGCGUUAUCCGGAAUGACUGGGCGUAAAGAGUUGCGUAAGUGGUUUGUUCGCGAAUAGUGAAAUCAAGUGGCUCAACCAUUUGGCUAUUAUUCGAACUGGCAGACUUGAGAAUGAGAGAGGUAACUGGAAUUCCCGGUGUAGGAGUGAAAUCCGUAGAUAUCGGGAGGAACACCUAUGGCGUAAGCACGUUACUGGCUCAUUUCUGACAUAAGCACAAAAGCGUGGGGAGCGUCCGGAUUAAUGCCGGGUAGUCCCGCCAUAAAGAUGGAUGCUACCUGUUGUGGGUACGACCUCCCACUAUGGAGCUAAUCGUCACCAUCCCGCCUGGGAGUACGUCCAAGAUUAAACUCAAUGAUUGACUGGAAUGG
rnacentral:rRNA from 1 species